rnacentral:rRNA from 1 species
UUUGACGUUAGCUGCAGAAGAAGCACCGGCUAACUCCGUGCCAGCAGCCGCGGUAAUACGGAGGGUGCGAGCGUUAAUCGGAAUUACUGGGCGUAAAGCGCAUGCAGGUGGUUUGUUUAAGUCAGAUGUGAAAGACCCGGGGCGUCAACCUCGGAAUUGCAUUUGAAACUAGGCAGACUAGAGUACUGUAGAGGGGGGUAGGAAGUUUCAGGUGUAGCGGUGAAAUGCGUAGAGAUCUGAAGGAAUACCGGUGGCGAAGGCGGCCCCCUCGGACAGAUACUGACACUCAGAUGCGAAAGCGUGGGGAGCAAACAGGAUUAGAUACCCUGGUAG